AAAAAAGGUAAGCUACUAAGAGCGAAUGGUGGAUGCCUUGACUGGUAAAGGCGAUGAAGGACGUACUAGACUGCGAUAAGCUACGGGGAGCUGUCAAGAAGCUUUGAUCCGUAGAUUUCCGAAUGGGGCAACCCAAUGUAUAGAGAUAUACAUUACCUAUAUAGGAGCGAACGAGGGGAAUUGAAACAUCUUAGUACCCUCAGGAAAAGAAAUCAAUAGAGAUUGCGUCAGUAGCGGCGAGCGAAAGCGCAAGAGGGCAAACCCAGUGCUUGCACUGGGGGUUGUAGGACUGCAAUGUGCAAGAGGUGAGUUUAGCAGAACAUUCUGGAAAGUAUAGCCAUAGAGGGUGAUAGUCCCGUAUGCGAAAAACAAACCUUAGCUAGCAGUAUCCUGAGUAGGGCGGGACACGAGAAAUCCUGUCUGAAGCUGGGUCGACCACGAUCCAACCCUAAAUACUAAUACCAGAUCGAUAGUGCACAAGUACCGUGAGGGAAAGGUGAAAAGAACUGAGGUGAUCAGAGUGAAAUAGAACCUGAAACCAUUUGCUUACAAUCAUUCAGAGCCCUAUGUAGCAAUACAGGGUGAUGGACUGCCUUUUGCAUAAUGAGCCUGCGAGUUGUGGUGUCUGGCAAGGUUAAGCAAACGCGAAGCCGUAGCGAAAGCGAGUCUGAAUAGGGCGCUUAGUCAGAUGCUGCAGACCCGAAACGAAGUGAUCUAUCCAUGAGCAAGUUGAAGCUAGUGUAAGAACUAGUGGAGGACUGAACCCAUAGGCGUUGAAAAGCCCCGGGAUGACUUGUGGAUAGGGGUGAAAGGCCAAUCAAACUUCGUGAUAGCUGGUUCUCUCCGAAAUAUAUUUAGGUAUAGCGUUGUGUCGUAAUAUAAGGGGGUAGAGCACUGAAUGGGCUAGGGCAUACACCAAUGUACCAAACCCUAUCAAACUCCGAAUACCUUAUAUGUAAUCACAGCAGUCAGGUGGCGAGUGAUAAAAUCCGUCGUCAAGAGGGAAACAACCCAGACUACCAGCUAAGGUCCCUAAAUCUUACUUAAGUGGAAAACGAUGUGAAGUUACUUAAACAACCAGGAGGUUGGCUUAGAAGCAGCCAUCCUUUAAAGAAAGCGUAAUAGCUCACUGGUCUAGUGAUUUUGCGCGGAAAAUAUAACGGGGCUAAAGUAAGUACCGAAGCUGUAGACUUGCACACAACUUAGAUUAUUUAAGUUUAGAAUAUGAGAAACUAAGUUAUAUGUUUAGUUAUAUUUUUACUGAUUUUUAUAGAGUAAAGAUAGAAAUAAAACUUAGUAAAAUCAGUAAAAAUAUUCUUAGACUAAAGUUAAGUAGUUUAAGUUGUGUGCAAGUGGUAGGAGAGCGUUCUAUUUGCGUCGAAGGUAUACCGGUAAGGAGUGCUGGAGCGAAUAGAAGUGAGCAUGCAGGCAUGAGUAGCGAUAAUUAAUGUGAGAAUCAUUAACGCCGUAAACCCAAGGUUUCCUACGCGAUGCUCGUCAUCGUAGGGUUAGUCGGGUCCUAAGUCGAGUCCGAAAGGGGUAGACGAUGGCAAAUUGGUUAAUAUUCCAAUACCAACAUUAGUGUGCGAUGGAAGGACGCUUAGGGCUAAGGGGGCUAGCGGAUGGAAGUGCUAGUCUAAGGUCGUAGGAGGUUAUACAGGCAAAUCCGUAUAACAAUACUCCGAGAACUGAAAGGCUUUUUGAAGUCUUCGGAUGGAUAGAAGAACCCCUGAUGCCGUCGAGCCAAGAAAAGUUUCUAAGUUUAGCUAAUGUUGCCCGUACCGUAAACCGACACAGGUGGGUGGGAUGAGUAUUCUAAGGCGCGUGGAAGAACUCUCUUUAAGGAACUCUGCAAAAUAGCACCGUAUCUUCGGUAUAAGGUGUGGUUCGCUUCGUAUUAGGAUUUACUCCGAAAGCGAAGAAACUUACAACAAAGAGUCCCUCCCGACUGUUUACCAAAAACACAGCACUCUGCUAACUCGUAAGAGGAUGUAUAGGGUGUGACGCCUGCCCGGUGCUCGAAGGUUAAUUGAUGGGGUUAGCAUUAGCGAAGCUCUUGAUCGAAGCCCGAGUAAACGGCGGCCGUAACUAUAACGGUCCUAAGGUAGCGAAAUUCCUUGUCGGUUAAAUACCGACCUGCAUGAAUGGCGUAACGAGAUGGGAGCUGUCUCAAAGAGGGAUCCAGUGAAAUUGUAGUGGAGGUGAAAAUUCCUCCUACCCGCGGCAAGACGGAGAGACCCCGUGGACCUUUACUACAGCUUGACACUGCUAUUUGGAUAAGAAUGUGCAGGAUAGGUGGGAGGCUUUGAGUAUAUGACGCCAGUUGUAUAUGAGCCAUUGUUGAGAUACCACUCUUUCUUAUUUGGGUAGCUAACCAGCUUGAGUUAUCCUCAAGUGGGACAAUGUCUGGUGGGUAGUUUGACUGGGGCGGUCGCCUCCCAAAUAAUAACGGAGGCUUACAAAGGUUGGCUCAGAACGGUUGGAAAUCGUUCGUAGAGUAUAAAGGUAUAAGCCAGCUUAACUGCAAGACAUACAAGUCAAGCAGAGACGAAAGUCGGUCUUAGUGAUCCGGUGGUUCUGUGUGGAAGGGCCAUCGCUCAAAGGAUAAAAGGUACCCCGGGGAUAACAGGCUGAUCUCCCCCAAGAGCUCACAUCGACGGGGAGGUUUGGCACCUCGAUGUCGGCUCAUCGCAUCCUGGGGCUGGAGCAGGUCCCAAGGGUAUGGCUGUUCGCCAUUUAAAGCGGUACGCGAGCUGGGUUCAGAACGUCGUGAGACAGUUCGGUCCCUAUCUGCCGUGGGCGUAAGAAGAUUGAAGAGAUUUGACCCUAGUACGAGAGGACCGGGUUGAACAAACCACUGGUGUAGCUGUUGUUCUGCCAAGAGCAUCGCAGCGUAGCUAAGUUUGGAAAGGAUAAACGCUGAAAGCAUCUAAGCGUGAAGCCAACUCUAAGAUGAAUCUUCUCUAAGCUCUCUAGAAGACUACUAGUUUGAUAGGCUGGGUGUGUAAUGGAUGAAAGUCCUUUAGCUGACCAGUACUAAUAGAGCGUUUGGCUUAUCUUUAAUAAAGCAU
rnacentral:rRNA from 1 species